rnacentral:rRNA from 1 species
CCUACGGGGGGCUGCAGUGGGGAAUAUUGGACAAUGGGCGAAAGCCUGAUCCAGCCAUGCCGCGUGUGUGAAGAAGGCCUUCGGGUUGUAAAGCACUUUCAGUGGGGAAGAAAGCCUUGGGGCUAAUACCCUCGAGGAAGGACAUCACCCACAGAAGAAGCACCGGCUAACUCCGUGCCAGCAGCCGCGGUAAUACGGAGGGUGCGAGCGUUAAUCGGAAUUACUGGGCGUAAAGCGCGCGUAGGCGGUCUGAUAAGCCGGUUGUGAAAGCCCCGGGCUCAACCUGGGAACGGCAUCCGGAACUGUCAGGCUAGAGUGCAGGAGAGGAAGGUAGAAUUCCCGGUGUAGCGGUGAAAUGCGUAGAGAUCGGGAGGAAUACCAGUGGCGAAGGCAGCCUUCUGGACUGACACUGACGCUGAGGUGCGAAAGCGUGGGUAGCAAACAGGAUUAGAUACCCCAGUAGUC